AGUCGACGUGAAGUCCUUCGGGACGAGUAAAGUGGCGCACGGGUGAGUAACGCGUGGAUAAUCUACCCUUAAGAUGGGGAUAACGGCUGGAAACGGUCGCUAAUACCGAAUACGCUCCCGAUUUUAUCAUUGGGGGGAAAGAUGGCCUCUGCUUGCAAGCUAUCGCUUAAGGAUGAGUCCGCGUCCCAUUAGCUAGUUGGCGGGGUAACGGCCCACCAAGGCAACGAUGGGUAGCCGGUCUGAGAGGAUGACCGGCCACACUGGAACUGGAACACGGUCCAGACUCCUACGGGAGGCAGCAGUGGGGAAUAUUGCGCAAUGGGCGAAAGCCUGACGCAGCGACGUCGCGUGAGGGAUGAAGGUUCUCGGAUCGUAAACCUCUGUCAGGGGGGAAGAAACCCCCUCGUGUGAAUAAUGCGAGGGCUUGACGGUACCCCCAAAGGAAGCACCGGCUAACUCCGUGCCAGCAGCCGCGGUAAUACGGAGGGUGCAAGCGUUAAUCGGAAUCACUGGGCGUAAAGCGCACGUAGGCGGCUUGGUAAGUCAGGGGUGAAAUCCCACAGCCCAACUGUGGAACUGCCUUUGAUACUGCCAGGCUUGAGUACCGGAGAGGGUGGCGGAAUUCCAGGUGUAGGAGUGAAAUCCGUAGAUAUCUGGAGGAACACCGGUGGCGAAGGCGGCCACCUGGACGGUAACUGACGCU
rnacentral:rRNA from 1 species